UUAAUUGUUUGUAGACAAGACUGUAUUUCCUAAGGAAAGAAUAUUCUGAAAUGAUUUUGCAAUCUACGCUUGACUAAGCUUCUGCGUUCCUCUAUUAUUUCUUCUCAUUGAUAAUAAUAAGUCCCAUAUGGAAAAUGCGUAACAAGGAUAAGAAGAAACUAGCAGCUAAAUUUUGCCACGCUAUGCCAACUAUCUGCAGACUAUAUAUAUUACAUUUCAAAACUUGGCCACAUUUUCACUUCUCAUCCUUUAGCAGUAGAACACUUUUAACAGAUGGAAACGCUAAAUUGCUCAGUACUGCUCUGUGUUACGGAGCCAGGCCUGGGAAGUAGACGCUGAAUCUCUGGAUGGCUUUUCUGCUCCGGGGCAGCACUGGUCACCGCAGCCAUAGUGCAGGACAUCACACUGUUUGAAAACUUGUAUAGUGACGUUCUAAACUUGUUAAGGGAAGAGAAAGAAACCCAGCAUGAGCCAAAAGCCAUGGCUGUAAAAAGAGCUGUUCCCAGCAGCAGGAAGAGAUGUAGACAGCUACUAGACAUUACCGUGUGACUCUGGGAACUUACGGUGAUCUCCUUUCUGCCUGCUGCCGUCUAACAGGCGCAUCACAUAAAGCUCAUUUGUUCAGCACUGGACAGUUAGCUAUA